UAACGAAUAGUUUAAAGCAAAGCGGUAGGUUGUGGCUCUACAGAUAGGAAGGCCUUUCGUUAG
rnacentral:tRNA from 1 species